UACGGAGGGGGCUAGCGUUGUUCGGAAUUACUGGGCGUAAAGCGCACGUAGGCGGCUUUGCAAGUUAGAGGUGAAAGCCCGGGGCUCAACUCCGGAAUUGCCUUUAAAACUGCAUCGCUAGAAUUGUGGAGAGGUAAGUGGAAUUCCGAGUGUAGAGGUGAAAUGCGUAGAUAUGCGGAGGAACACCAGUGGCGAAGGCGGCUCACUGGACCGGAACUGACGCUGAGGCGCGAAAGCGUGGGGAGCAAACAGG
rnacentral:rRNA from 1 species